AAGCAAUACGGAGGUAUUGGCGAUUUGACCAGAAGAGAAUCAAAUCUGCAAAAUCUAUUUUAAGGUAUUAAUCUCCCUUUUAGCUUAAAUUAACCAUUUAUGAGAUAUAAAUUCAUUUUAAUAUCACAUUUUCCUAACCCCACCUGCGAUUACUAUCCAUUGACACAUAUAUUCUAAUAUACAUAUAUUAAAUUAGGGCUCUUAAUCAAUUUGGGGGUUAUAUAUGAAGUGUAUUGAAUUAAUGGUUGUUGAUUAUUGGAAUUGUGGUUGGCAUCGGAGCAGUAAGUGUGCGGGGUGGCUGGCCGGAGCUCACGUCGGCGACACCGACGGAGGGUAACGGCGAUGUUAAAACGGAGGGGAAGGUCGAGAAGAAGAGAGACAGCAGGGGAAAAGAGAGAUUGAGGUGGGGGUUUUGUGUGUGUUGUGUGGGUGAGAUGGGUGAGCCGUGUGUGUGUGGCGACGGAGAGAGGUCACCGAUGGUGGCGUUGAGUGGUAGGAACCGAGGGAGACGCGGAAGAGGGGGGAGAGAGAGAGAGAGAGAGAGAAAAGAGUAGGAUGAGGGAUGAGGGAGAAAGGUGAGUUUGGGGAAGAUGGGGAUAUUUUGGUAAAUUGAAAAGUGAGAGUGCUAAUAAGAACAAAUAAAAUUGAUAAAAUGUGGGAAUUAAAUAUAAAAGGAUGGAUUUGAGUGAAUUAAAAAGAAAAUAAUGGGAGAGAAAUGAUUGACUUAUGAUAAUUGGGUUAAUAAAAGGAAAUAAAUUAUAUAAUAAUUUGAAUUUAUAAAAGAAUUUGGUUUUAUAUUAAAAGGAGAGAUAAAUAGGAUAGAUGGGAAGUUAUUUUAGAUUUAUUAUAUUGAGCGAUUAAAACGGAGCUAAAAAGAAUGUUUAGAGGUAUAAUUAAAGAGAGAAUAAGAUUUGAGAUUUAAUAAAUAUCCUAAUUGGUGUUUAAGAAUUUAAUAAGGAAUGAGUUGAAUUGUUUAGAAAGUGAAGAAAUCUAAUAUUAGGGGAAGAAUCAUUCAAAUGUCAGUGGAGACCGUGGUAAUAAAUAAUAGAAUUUUGCAUAUUAAAGGUUUAAUUGGGGUUAUUAGUUAAGAAUAAAAGAAAGAGAAUAAAAAGAAAGAGAAUAAAAAGAAAGGGAAUUGGGUAUUAUAUAAUUUUAAUGUAACUACAUUAGUCCAAAUGUUAUACCUGUGUAAAAGUGGGCAAAGUGAUAGUAUAACAUUUUAGUGAAGUCUGUGCAAUAAAAAGAAUUAGAUAAUCAAUUAAAAACUCAAGAUAUUAUUUAAAUAGAGAGCUAUAUAGAUUUAAGUUAAUAAUGAGUCAAGAUCAUUAUUUUUACGAGUAUACUGAAAUUAUCAUUUUGCGUGAUAUAGAAUAUUUAUUGCCUGGAAAGGCGAAGCCUGAUUAUACGUGAUAAAUUGGAAUAUUAUCAAGCUAAGGAUGUCAGGCAAGUUCACUAUCCUUGUCUCGACGUGAAAUUUUUCGUGUCUAUUUCAUAAUUUUGUGAUAAGUGUUGAUUGUGGAAAUAUUUCAUUUCGUACCAUUGUGAAUUGAGAAAAUGUCUCCGUUUCAUUUUGAAGCCUUUAAAGAUAUUGUUCACAUAUGAUCACUUUCUAUAAUUCGAGCCCUCCCAUUGUUCGAGAAUGAGCUAAUCCUAUAAUGAUAAUAUUCUGAAUCUUUGAAACUCGAAGUGAAUACAUGGCAGCGAUGAUCUCACCACAAUUAACUUACUCCCUUUUUGGAGAUCAUCUUAUUCUUUGGAAUUUAAUUCUUUUAAUUAUUCUUCACUUCUACCUUCGGGUAAUCUUUGUUGAAAGGGUGCAUUGUUCGCACUUCUUUGGUAAAGAUGAGUAGUGUUUGUUUGUGAGAAUUUCCUUGUAUUCGGAGGAAUCUGUUCAAGCUGGUCAACACGAAUUUCUUAAAUUCGUGGUAGAGUUGAAUUUACUAUCUGGUAAGGCAGAUAGUUUAGGGUUACAAAUGUUAACCCUUGUGCUAGCAAAUGAGAGUGGUAGGUGUGUCUUGUGCGGUUACGAUCAGACUGCAAAGGUCACACAGGAGAACGGUAUUCACGAAAUGGUGCUGAUCGAGCCAUGUAGUGUUACCGAAAGGUGGAAGACCAGCGUUUUCUUUACUUGAACUUGUGUUGUCAUUUGACGGU
rnacentral:lncRNA from 1 species